rnacentral:rRNA from 1 species
UGGGGAAUAUUGCACAAUGGGCGCAAGCCUGAUGCAGCCAUGCCGCGUGUAUGAAGAAGGCCUUCGGGUUGUAAAGUACUUUCAGCGGGGAGGAAGGCGAUAAGGUUAAUAACCUUGUCGAUUGACGUUACCCGCAGAAGAAGCACCGGCUAACUCCGUGCCAGCAGCCGCGGUAAUACGGAGGGUGCAAGCGUUAAUCGGAAUUACUGGGCGUAAAGCGCACGCAGGCGGUCUGUCAAGUCAGAUGUGAAAUCCCCGGGCUCAACCUGGGAACUGCAUUCGAAACUGGCAGGCUAGAGUCUUGUAGAGGGGGGUAGAAUUCCAGGUGUAGCGGUGAAAUGCGUAGAGAUCUGGAGGAAUACCGGUGGCGAAGGCGGCCCCCUGGACAAAGACUGACGCUCAGGUGCGAAAGCGUGGGGAGCAAACA